UACGUAGGGUGCAAGCGUUGUCCGGAAUUAUUGGGCGUAAAGAGCUCGUAGGCGGUCUGUCGCGUCUGCUGUGAAAACUCAGGGCUUAACCCUGAGCUUGCAGUGGGGUACGGGCAGACUAGAGUGGCGGUAGGGGAGACUGGAAUUCCUGGUGUAGCGGUGAAAUGCGCAGAUAUCAGGAGGAACACCAGUGGCGAAGGCGAGUCUCUGGGAUGAUGCGUGACGCUGAGGCGGCGAAAGCCAGGGGACGCAAACGGG
rnacentral:rRNA from 1 species